CCCUAAGGCUACGUACAAAAACACCACGUGUGCAGAUGUGGGUGGUCCUAAACCCUUUAUAUUGGUUUAUAAGUCAACAUACACAGGCCUUGUAUUGCAACCUUUGGUGGAUUGAAGGGUUGAUAUAAAAUGAAAGAUUGAGGAAUGCGUUACUGGCCCCAUGUCUCUCAUAUUCCCCUUAUGGUAUCAAGACAGAUUUCCUCUAACAACAGGCAGCAGACAGCAGAUUGCAAGAAGGGAGACACCUAGUGGCCAAG